AUUGUACGUGAUAGGCUAAGGGGUAUCUCUAAGCUGUGGACCAAUCACGACAGAGCCGGCCAGCUAACCAAUCAGAGCAGGCUGGUUUCAGACAGAGGGUGAAAAGAAAAAUAAAGUGCUUUUUGC